rnacentral:rRNA from 1 species
GACGAACGCUGGCGGCGUGCUUAACACAUGCAAGUCGAACGAUGAAGCCGGAGCUUGCUCUGGUGAAUUAGUGGCGAACGGGUGAGUAACACGUGAGUAACCUGCCCUUGACUCUGGGAUAACUGCGGGAAACUGUAGCUAAUACCGGAUACGACCCUCGGAGGCAUCUCCUGGGGGUGGAAAGAAUUUCGGUCAAGGAUGGACUCGCGGCCUAUCAGCUAGUUGGUGAGGUAAAGGCUCACCAAGGCGACGACGGGUAGCCGGCCUGAGAGGGUGACCGGCAACACUGGGACUGAGACACGGCCCAGACUCCUACGGGAGGCAGCAGUGGGGAAUAUUGCACAAUGGGCGCAAGCCUGUUGCAGCAACGCCGCGUGAGGGAUGACGGCCUUCGGGUUGUAAACCUCUUUUAGCAGGGAAGAAGCGAAAGUGACGGUACCUGCAGAAAAAGCACCGGCUAACUACGUGCCAGCAGCCGCGGUAA